UCCCUGGUGGCUCAGAUGGUAAAGCGUCUGCGUGCAAUGCGGGAGACCUGGGUUCAAUUCCUGGGUUGGGAA
rfam:TPA: Bos taurus chromosome 20, whole genome shotgun sequence.